rnacentral:sRNA from 1 species
GUUGGGUGUGGUGGCACAUGCCUGUAAUCCCAGCAGCUCGGGAGGCUGAGGCAGGAGGAUCACAAAUUCACAGCCAGCCUCAGCAACUGUGAGGCACUAAGCAACUCAGUGAAACCCUGUCUCUA